AUUCCAUUUAAAAAAAAUAAAAUAAAAUAAAAUAACCUAUUUGGCCUAGUUUUUAUCACUAAUGUAAUAGACUAUUUACAAUUAAACCCUUCCACUCACAAAUAUAUUAAAAAAAGCAUUAGAAACGGUCAGAUCCUUCCGUUCAGACGUGCGAAUUAAUGCCUUUUUGUAUUUUUUUUCAAAAAAUUCCUAUUUCCAAUAAAACUUCCUUCAACAUGUCCCUUCAGUCCUUUCAGGCUCAAUGUAAACUCUUAUUUUCAAUUUCUUCUUCAUUCUUCUUCCUUCUUCUUUCUCCUUAUUUUCAAGUUUCAUUGUUGUUCAAUCGGUGACCAACGACCAAGGAAGCAAGCAUUCUGCAAUCGACGGCCAACGGAGGUUUAUUUUCAACCUCGACUAUCAACGGAGAGGGAAAGAAAGGCAGCGACCUACUGGAACUUGAGUCGGCUGCAACCUACUACAAUCAACGGCCAAAAUAGGGAGAUGAAGCAAUCAUUACAAUAUACUGCAUAUUUCAUAUAAAAAAGUAGCGUUUGGGGAGAAACAAAAAUUGUUGGGACUUUCUUGGGGAUAAACAUGCAGUAGAAGAA